rnacentral:tRNA from 1 species
GGGGGUGUAGCUCAGUGGUAGAGUGCUUAAGUAGCAUGAGUCCAAGGCCUUGGUUUGAUCCCCAGCACUGCCA